UCUAAGCCAUGCGAGUCAUUGUAGCAAUACAAGGCAGACGGCUCAGUAACGCGUAGUCAAUCUACCCUAUGGACGGGAAUAACCUCGGGAAACUGAGAAUAAUGCCCGAUAGAACAUUAUGCCUGGAAUGGUUUAUGUUUCAAAUGAUUUAUCGCCAUAGGAUGGGACUGCGGCCUAUCAGUUUGUUGGUGAGGUAAUGGCCCACCAAGACUAUUACAGGUACGGGCUCUGAGAGGAGUAGCCCGGAGAUGGGUACUGAGACACGGACCCAGGCCCUAUGGGGCGCAGCAGGCGAGAAAACUUUGCAAUGUGCGAAAGCACGACAAGGUUAAUCCGAGUGGUUUCUGCUAAAGAAACCUUUUGUCAGUCCUAGAAACACUAACGAAUAAGGGGUGGGCAAGUUCUGGUGUCAGCCGCCGCGGUAAAACCAGCACCUCAAGUGGUCAGGAUGAUUAUUGGGCCUAAAGCAUCCGUAGCUCGUUUUGUAAGUUUUCGGUUAAAUCCAUGCGCUUAACGUAUGGGCUGCCGGGAAUACUGCAUAACUAGGAAGUGGGAGAGGUAGACGGUACUCGGUAGGAAGGGGUAAAAUCCUUUGAUCUAUUGAUGACUACCUGUGGCGAAGGCGGUCUACCAGAACACGUUCGACGGUGAGGGAUGAAAGCUGGGGGAGCAAACCGGAUUAGAUACCCGGGUAGUCCCAGCUGUAAACUAUGCAAACUCAGUGAUGCAUUGGCUUGUGGCCAAUGCAGUGCUGCAGGGAAGCCGUUAAGUUUGCCGCCUGGGAAGUACGUACGCAAGUAUGAAACUUAAAGGAAUUGGCGGGGGAGCACCACAAGGGGUGAAGCCUGCGGUUCAAUUGGAGUCAACGCCAGAAAUCUUACCCGGAGAGACAGCAGAAUGAAGGUCAAGCUGAAGACUUUACCAGACAAGCUGAGAGGAGGUGCAUGGCC
rnacentral:rRNA from 1 species